rnacentral:lncRNA from 1 species
UUGCCGCCUGUCUCCCAAGACAUGCUCAGCUCCGUGAAGCAGCACGGCGGUGUUUGUUUCAGUGUGGCUGCCCGUUGGGGAUUUGCAGGAAUACUGCAGCAAAUCAUCCUGCAUGCAAGGCUGACCUCUGGGAGGCUAACAAAUUGAGGUGAGCCAGCUGGAGCGAUAGGACACUGCCGGCGGACAGAGCAUGCUCAGACCUGGGGGAGAAAGGUAGCUCAGGCUGCAGAUGGUGCACGGGUUACGGUGCCGAGAGCCGAUAGAAAGGAUUUUUCCUUUUUCUUUGUGGUGGUGAGGAGAGAAGAGGACUGGAGAGUGUUCGUUCCCCUGCAAAGCAUAGCCUUAAGGUGUCUUCUUUUUUCUUUCUCCUGUGAAAGAGAGGCACUGGAUAGCCUUUCCUGUUAUUUAGCAACACCAGUUACCUGCUGCCUCCUGGGAAAGUUUCCCAUCCCAGGACUGCUGCUGCUCACAGUGCCUAACAGCUGA